CCUACGGGAGGCUGCAGUGAGGAAUAUUGGUCAAUGGGCGCGAGCCUGAACCAGCCAAGCCGCGUGAAGGAUGACUGCCCUACGUUUUGUAAACCUCUUUUAUAAAGAAAUAAAUGCAGGCACGUGUGCCUUUUUGUAUGUACUUUAUGAAUAAAGAUCGGCUAACUCCGUGCCAGCAGCCGCGGUAAUACGGAGGAUACGAGCGUUGUCCGGAUUUAUUGGGGUUAAAGGGAGCGUAGGUGGGUUGUUAAGUCAGUUGUGAAAGUUUGGGGCUCAACCGUAAAAGUGCAAUUGAUACUGGCAGACUUGAGUACAGUAGAGGUAGGCGGAAUGCGUGGUGUAGCGGUGAAAUGCAUAGAGAUCACGAAGAACUCCGAUUGCGAAGGCAGCUUACUGGACUGCAACUGACGCUGAUGUUCGAAAGUGUGGGUAUCAAACAGGAUUAGAUACCCGGGUAGUC
rnacentral:rRNA from 1 species